rnacentral:rRNA from 1 species
UACGGAGGAUCCAAGCGUUAUCCGGAAUCAUUGGGGUUAAAGGGUCCGUAGGCGGUUUUGUAAGUCAGUGGUGAAAGCCCAUCGCUCAACGGUGGAACGGCCAUUGAUACUGCAAGACUUGAAUUACUAGGAAGUAACUAGAAUAUGUAGUGUAGCGGUGAAAUGCUUAGAUAUUACAUGGAAUACCAAUUGCGAAGGCAGGUUACUACUAGUUGAUUGACGCUGAUGGACGAAAGCGUGGGGAGCGAACAGG